CUCAUUGGAUGAGAAAGCCAGAGGUCCCGCCCCCCUGAUUUUCUCCAUUUCAUUUUGAGAAUUAUGUGAGGAAAUAUUCCGUGAGGUGCAUUUCAUUGAGAAAAGAACACUGGAUGAGAACCCGUGGACCCUCCCAUCUGACAUCCAGCUGAUUCUGAGGAGCAGGGAGUACAACAGAAAGGCUGAAAGUGGACCCUGCCAGAGUCCUCCAGCAGAUACAAAGUCAUUCAUUCUUGGUUUAAGAGGAUUAGCACAACUGAAGCGUCCAGAGGGCUUUGUCUACUUUGAUGGACUACAGACAGUUACGUUGUUGUUUGGACACCUGGGAACUCUAUUAACAACAAGAUCACAUUAUGAGUCUUCAGGUCGGAAUUCAAGGAUGCCGCUCAGUUUCCAAUCAAGUGGUCUUGAUUAUUAUUUAUCAUUUGUGAAGGCUGUGUUCAUCAGCAUCAGGCUAACAUACAUUUGGUGAUCAGCCGUGAUCGAGCAGACAGUAUCUAUCUGUAAACCACUAACUGUAUAUCAGCAUUUCAACUCCAAUUUUGUUUUCUUUCAAGUGCGUGCACACCUACACCCCCUCCCAAACCCUCCUCACACAGACACACACCUGCAAUCAAACCAAAAACAUGGAUCGACCAGAGCACUGCGACCCACAGUAGGUGGCGGACCCCACAACCUGGGACAAAGACAUUGGCAAAUUCUAAGGUUUGAGGACGGAUAGGCCUUCCCAUAUUUGCACCGUUGCUACACAACUACAGUAUGUCCCUACCAUGCAAUACAAUGGCCUCAAAACUUUAAGAAAUGUACUUUUGACGUUCAAGAAAACAUUUUUGGUCAUGGUUUAUAAAACACUGUAAAGUACAUUAAAAGUGAUGUGAUGUCACACCCGUGGUAUGCGGUCUCUCAAUACGUUUUAGUACUGUCGUGGGUAAAAACUACAAUCAUUUCUACCACAGUACACUAAUGAAUGCCAAUGCCCUCUGUACAUAUCAUUCUCUUGUCCUGAUGUUCUAAGAAAAUAAACUUGCAG
ensembl:lncRNA